rfam:Pan troglodytes isolate Yerkes chimp pedigree #C0471 (Clint) chromosome 2B, whole genome shotgun sequence.
AGAGCCGCCCUGUCCGCGCCGCGCCUCGGCAGCCGGAACAGGGCCGCCGUCGGGGAGCCCCAACACACGAUCCACAGCUCAUCAUGAUGGACUUGGAGCUGCCGUCGCCGGGACUCCCGUCCCAGCAG